rnacentral:rRNA from 1 species
GACGAACGCUGGCGGCGUGCUUAACACAUGCAAGUCGAACGGAAAGGCCCUGCUUUUGUGGGGUGCUCGAGUGGCGAACGGGUGAGUAACACGUGGGUAACCUGCCCUUGACUUUGGGAUAACUUCAGGAAACUGGGGCUAAUACCGGAUAGGAGCUCCUGCUGCAUGGUGGGGGUUGGAAAGUUUCGGCGGUUGGGGAUGGACUCGCGGCUUAUCAGCUUGUUGGUGGGGUAGUGGCUUACCAAGGCUUUGACGGGUAGCCGGCCUGAGAGGGUGACCGGCCACAUUGGGACUGAGAUACGGCCCAGACUCCUACGGGAGGCAGCAGUGGGGAAUAUUGCACAAUGGGCGGAAGCCUGAUGCAGCAACGCCGCAUGCGGGAUGACGGCCUUCGGGUUGUAAACCGCUUUCGCCUGUGACGAAGCGUGAGUGACGGUAAUGGGUAAAGAAGCACCGGCUAACUACGUG